rnacentral:ncRNA from 1 species
GAAAGCUGUGUGAGGGAAAACCUCAUGCACAGUUUGAUGAGAAGGUGCUGGAAACAUAUCACUGAUUUCUGAUAAUGCGCCAGUGUCUUACUCUAU